rnacentral:rRNA from 1 species
GAUUAAGCCAUGCAUGUCUAGGUACAUGCCGCCUCAAGGCGAAACCGCGAAUGGCUCAUUAAAUCAGUUAUGGUUCAUUAGACCUUACCUCACUACUUGGAUACCUGUGGUAAUUCUAGAGCUAAUACAUGCACCCAAGCUCCGACCCUUCGGGGAACGAGCGCUUUUAUUAGACCAAGACCAACCGGGCCUCGCGGCCCGUCCGUCGUGGUGACUCUGGAAAACUUUGGGCUGAUCGCACGGGCUCGUCCCGGCGACGCAUCUUUCAAGUGCCUGCCUUAUCAACUUUCGAUGGUAGGUUACUCGCCUACCAUGGUUGUUACGGGUAACGGGGAAUCAGGGUUCGAUUCCGGAGAGGGAGCCUGAGAAACGGCUACCACAUCCAAGGAAGGCAGCAGGCGCGCAAAUUACCCACUCCCGGCACGGGGAGGUAGUGACGAAAAAUAACGAUACGGGACUCAUUCGAGACCCCGUAAUCGGAAUGAGAACACUCUAAAUCCUUUAGCGAGGACCCACUGGAGGGCAAGUCCGGUGCCAGCAGCCGCGGCAAGACCGGCUCCAGUAGCGUAUGCUAAAGUUGUUGCGGUUAAAAAGCUCGUAGUUGGAUCUCAGUUCCAGACGCGCGGUCCGCCUCACGGUGGUCACUGCCCGAACUGAACAACCUGCCGGUUUCCCUCGAUGACCUUCGCUGAUUGUCCCGGGUGACCGGCGCGUUUACUUUGAAAAAAUUAGAGUGCUCAAAGCAGGCGCCCCGCCUGCAUACCGUUGCAUGGAAUAAUGGAAUAGGACCACGGUUCUAUUUUGUUGGUUUUCGGAAUUCGCGGUAAUGAUUAAGAGGGACAGUCGGGGGCAUCCGUAUUGCGACGCUAGAGGUGAAAUUCUUGGACCGUCGCAAGACGAACUACUGCGAAAGCAUUUGCCAAGUAUGUCUCCAUUAAUCAAGAGCGACAGUCAGAGGAUCGAAGGCGAUCAGAUACCGCCCUAGUUCUGACCAUAAACGAUGCCAACCAGCGAUCCGCCUGGGUUCCUCAAAUGACUCGGCGGGCAGCUUCCGGGAAACCAAAGUCUUUGGGUUCCGGGGGAAGUAUGGUUGCAAAACUCGAACUUAAAGGAAUUGACGGAAGGGCACAUCAGGAGUGGAUCUUGCGGCUUAAUUUGACUCAACACGGGUAAGCUUACCUGGUCCGGACACUGGAAGGAUUGACAGAUUAAGAGCUCUUUCUUGAUUCAGUGGAAGGUGGUGCAUGGCCGUUCUUAGUUGGUGGAGUAAUUUGUCUGAUUAAUUUCGAUAACGAGCGAGACUCUAGCCUGCUAAAUAGGCGUCCCGAUCGAACCUUCGGGCGCUUUUCUUAGAGGGACAAGCGGCGUUUACCCGCACGAGACAGAGCAAUAACAGGUCAGAUAUGCCCUCAGAUGUCCGGGGCCGCACGCGUGCUACACUGAAGGAAUCAGCGUGUGCUGACCCUGUCCGGCAGGACUGGGUAACCCGCUGAACCUCCUUCGUGACAGGGACAGGGGCUUGGAAUUUUCCCCUCGAACGAGGAAUUCCUAGUAAGCGCAAGUCAUCAACUUGCGUUGAUUAAAUCCCUGCCCUUUGUACACACCGCCCGUCGCUAAUACUGAUUGAACCCCUUAGUGAGGUCUUCGGACUGGCGCUCGUAGCGGCCCCUGGUCGCGACGAAGUGCCGGAAAGAUGCCCGAACUUGCGCGCUUAGAAGAAGUAAAAGUCG